CUUGACGAACGCUGGCGGCGUGCUUAACACAUGCAAGUCGAACGGAAAGGCCCUGCUUUUGUGGGGUGCUCGAGUGGCGAACGGGUGAGUAACACGUGAGUAACCUGCCCUUGACUUUGGGAUAACUUCAGGAAACUGGGGCUAAUACCGGAUAGGAGCUCCUGCUGCAUGGUGGGGGUUGGAAAGUUUCGGCGGUUGGGGAUGGACUCGCGGCUUAUCAGCUUGUUGGUGGGGUAGUGGCUUACCAAGGCUUUGACGGGUAGCCGGCCUGAGAGGGUGACCGGCCACAUUGGGACUGAGAUACGGCCCAGACUCCUACGGGAGGCAGCAGUGGGGAAUAUUGCACAAUGGGCGGAAGCCUGAUGCAGCAACGCCGCGUGCGGGAUGACGGCCUUCGGGUUGUAAACCGCUUUCGCCUGUGACGAAGCGUGAGUGACGGUAAUGGGUAAAGAAGCACCGGCUAACUACGUGCCAGCAGCCGCGGUGAUACGUAGGGUGCGAGCGUUGUCCGGAUUUAUUGGGCGUAAAGGGCUCGUAGGUGGUUGAUCGCGUCGGAAGUGUAAUCUUGGGGCUUAACCCUGAGCGUGCUUUCGAUACGGGUUGACUUGAGGAAGGUAGGGGAGAAUGGAAUUCCUGGUGGAGCGGUGGAAUGCGCAGAUAUCAGGAGGAACACCAGUGGCGAAGGCGGUUCUCUGGGCCUUUCCUGACGCUGAGGAGCGAAAGCGUGGGGAGCGAACAGGCUUAGAUACCCUGGUAGUCCACGCUGUAAACGGUGGGUACUAGGUGUGGGGUCCAUUCCACGGGUUCCGUGCCGUAGCUAACGCUUUAAGUACCCCGCCUGGGGAGUACGGCCGCAAGGCUAAAACUCAAAGGAAUUGACGGGGCCCCGCACAAGCGGCGGAGCAUGCGGAUUAAUUCGAUGCAACGCGUAGAACCUUACCUGGGUUUGACAUGGAUCGGGAGUGCUCAGAGAUGGGUGUGCCUCUUUUGGGGUCGGUUCACAGGUGGUGCAUGGCUGUCGUCAGCUCGUGUCGUGAGAUGUUGGGUUAAGUCCCGCAACGAGCGCAACCCUUGUUCACUGUUGCCAGCACGUUAUGGUGGGGACUCAGUGGAGACCGCCGGGGUCAACUCGGAGGAAGGUGGGGAUGACGUCAAGUCAUCAUGCCCCUUAUGUCCAGGGCUUCACGCAUGCUACAAUGGCUGGUACAGAGAGUGGCGAGCCUGUGAGGGUGAGCGAAUCUCGGAAAGCCGGUCUCAGUUCGGAUUGGGGUCUGCAACUCGACCUCAUGAAGUCGGAGUCGCUAGUAAUCGCAGAUCAGCAACGCUGCGGUGAAUACGUUCCCGGGGCUUGUACACACCGCCCGUCAAGUCAUGAAAGUUGGUAACACCCGAAGCCGGUGGCCUAACCGUUGUGGGGGAGCCGUCGAAGGUGGGACUG
rnacentral:rRNA from 1 species